rnacentral:rRNA from 1 species
UACGGAGGGGGCAAGCGUUGUUCGGAAUCAUUGGGCGUAAAGGGCGCGUAGGCGGCCGGCCAAGUCGGGUGUGAAAUCCCUCGGCUCAACCGAGGAACUGCACUCGAUACUGCCUGGCUAGAGUCCGGGAGGGGAUGGUGGAAUUCCCAGUGUAGCGGUGAAAUGCGUAGAUAUUGGGAAGAACACCGGUGGCGAAGGCGGCCAUCUGGACCGGAACUGACGCUGAGGCGCGAAAGCCAGGGGAGCGAAUGGGAUUAGAAACCCCCGUAGUCC